CCCAGACCAGCAGAGGCAGGGGACGUAACAGAAGUAAUAGAAAAGCCUGAAAAUGAAGGUCAUAUGAAAGGGAGACUGCAGUGCGCCUCCUACGUGAUGCUUUGGUUCACUUUUUCCGAGGAGUCCUAACUAAGCAUAUCAAAAUACCUUAUAGACACAAAAAGUGGAUCAGGAGGAAAGAGAGCGCGGAUCAGGAAAUAAAGGUGCUACCUCUUGUGUCUGACCUUGAGAUGACCUUGGAACCAGAUGGUUGUGGGCUCUAAUCCCAGUACUGAUUUCAGAGAGUGUGGACGUCUCCCCCACCGGCUGGCUUAUCUGCAGUCCGCCUGGGCGUGACUGGAGGGUAGGAUGAAGCCUUUUUUUUUCUCUGCUGCAUCUUUGCCAUGCUGCACAGGAAUACACUAAUGCUCACGGCUAAGACCUGCUGAGCAAAAUCUGGAUUAUUCAUGAAAAAAGAAAGCUCGUGGAUCAGAAACUGGCUGACAGUAAAACAGUGUCUGACAUCAGACAAAGCGUGCUUGCUGAAAACAAUAUUCACCACU